CUCAGGGGCGGGGCUUUGAGGUCUCCUGUGCUUAAGCUAUGCUCAGUGUGGUUUAACAGUCACUUCUGCUGCCUGCAGACCACGAUGUUGAACUCUCCUCCUCCGGCAUGUCUGCCUGCAUGCUGCCAUGUUUCCCACCAUGAUGAAAAUGAACUAAACCUUCGAAACCCUGUGAUGGCAGAAGACAUGAUGUAUUGUUCACAUGUUACACUUGGCCGCGGCUGAGAACUGAACCAGUCCAGAAUGCCGCAGGUCCAGGGCAGAAGACCAACAGGAACUGUUUCAGUUAUUCAGUUAUGAGCAAGGCGGAGCUCUCAGUGGUGGUCUCGGUGACUGAAUGGUGAUGGAGGCUAGACAUCCAUUGGAAGACAUUAUCAGCAGCAGUGUGCAGUCCAGAAACCAUGCCAGCUUCCGGGGCCUCUGCUGCAGAGCAGGCUAGCUUUCUUGGGCCUCUGGCCUGUUCGUUUGCUUUUUAGUUUGCACAUUUCCUCCUUCCAC
rnacentral:lncRNA from 1 species